UGAGCUCAUUCAUCAAAGGCCAUGCCAUC
rnacentral:piRNA from 1 species